UUUUCUUUUUUCCCCCCAUUAGGAAAGAUACUUACAUGUUUUAUUCAAAAUUCUUUUAAGCCACCACCAAAGAAGAGAAAGAAAUUAACAUAAUAACUCUCCGGGUGGUUCCCUGUUUACAAAGUAAGUUUAACUUUUACUUUGUUUUCCUUCAGAGCCCUAAAUUCAACUCCUACUUUAUUCCAUAUUUCCAUUUUCAGUCAUCCUUGAUGCCUGAAAUGAUUUAGUUGAUGCCAUAUUGAUUUCGUUCUUGUUUGCUUCCUCAAAAUGUUUCUCAUUUUUCUGUCCCCUUGGCUCAUUUCUAAGUGUGUUUUCUAAUGUCCAUAUCCUGCACAAUUGCCAGCAGCACCAUGACCUAGGGAGGACCCUCAUUAUGAACUGCAUUCUACAGGAAAAAAGACGCACGUCCCCUUCAAAUGAUGUGGCUUGCCCCAUGGAAAACAGAGUUGGUGUCUGAGUCAGGAAAAAUGAGGAUGAUCAAGAGUGGUUGCUUCAGGGACCUUCCACACUGCUAAGGCCACCUCUAUUUUUCCAGACUCCAGGUAUAUUUUAAAAUGAAGACAUGUCAAAAUAGGUUUCUGUUGUAGUUAAAAUGUUUACACCUAUUAGCAAUUAUAUUUGUAUGAGAGUUGAAGGCUCUUCCAACACUGUCAGUGUACUUCUGUGACAGUAUGUAUCUAAACUCAUUUGGAAAUAAACAAUAAUUGUCUAAUUUUGGCCCUUAAUUGAGGUCCUAGCUUAAUGCCCUCUUUUCUCAUAAAGGAAUGCCCUUACAUGAACAUUAGGACUUUAGAGGACAGCAGUGGUGGCAACAGUGGAGUUGACUGCAGCUGGGGCAAAGGUAGCAGGUUAAUACCAGCUAACACCUCCAGAGCAUUUGCCAUGUGCCAGGGACAAUGCUAAGUAUUUUAUGUGUGCUAACACUAUGCUUUCUUAGGCAGGUACUAUUAUUAUCUGCUUUUUUUAACAGAUGAAGAAACCGAGCCACACAGAGGUUAAAUAACUUGCCCAAGGGUGCACAACUACUAGUAGUAUUGAGUCUAUACGCUUAAGUAUUGUGCUAUUCCAUUUCUUACUGAAUACAAAGCAAAAAAACAUAAGGAUCAGAGGAGGAGUGUGAGUGUCCUCAUACUCACAGCAAAAGGAGGGAAUUCAGGAGAGGAUUGAAGAAGCGGUUCCUGUUUUUGAGGCAUUUGCAAUCAUUGCUGGAGAGACAGAACCAACAGAUGGGGAACAAUGGUCAGGGACUCCAGGCCUGAUUUAAGCCAAUGCCGCCCUGUGGUCUUUACCCACGAAUGGUGUGGAAAAUGAGAGCAGGGAAGAGGAUUUACUCACUGGCUGUGGAGUUAGGUCAGAAGGGGGAUGGAAAGAAGGAACCGGAUGGCUUUGGGGACAUUUCUUAAUCUUUAGGCUUCACCUUCCUUAACUGAAAAUAAAGCCAUAAGUUACCUCCAGAACUCUUUCAGCCUUAACAUUCAAUGAAUCUCGAUCUUUUCUGUAAAGCUAGAUUUUUAUGUGUGGUAUUUGCUAAAAGUUGGGGCGCACCCUUACUUGAUCUGGCCCAGACUAUAGAUCACAUGAAGAUCACAUUAAAUCAGGUCGAAAGACUUUUCUGACUUCAAAUUAGCGAAUAUGCAUAUGUGCUGAACUUUAGUCUUUUCCUUUUCUUGAACAUUCAGUUUAAUAAUUGUCUCUGCCAUUUUACACAUUUAUUUUUCUUGGCUAUUUAUAUUUUCCUUUUGGGGAGGUCAAAUAUAAAAAUAGGAUAUACAUGGACUGUAGCAGUUGAUAAUAACUUGUGUGCUUUGAUUUUUUAAAGAACCAAAAUUUACCAAAAGGGAUCUUGCUCACUUAUCAAUUUGUUUUUUUUAUAUCUCUGUUUUUGUACAUAUCUUUUAAGUUAUUCCAGACCCUGACAACUGGACACCUGGUUAUGAUUGCAGAAUGUGCAGUUUAAAAUCCUAUUUUAAAACUUAGUUUUUGUUUUUCUUUUUGAGACAGGGUCUC
rnacentral:lncRNA from 1 species